GGGGCUGUAGCUCAGUCACAGAGCAUCUGCUUUGCAUGCAGAAGGUCCCAGGUUCAAUCCCUGGCAUCUCCA